AAUUUCAGGUAAUCGCGGGUUUGAAAACCUGAGGAAAGUCCAUUCUCGCACAAGCUGAGAUGCUUGUAGUGAUCGUGCUUAGCGAAACAAUAAGCUAAGGUACCCUUUUGGGUAACGGCAAGUUAAAAGCCUAAGGGCAACUAUGGCUGAGUGCUUGUAAAGUGCCACAGAGACGAGACAAUAUAGAAAUAUAUUGUGUGGAACGCGGUAAACCCCUCGAGCGAGUAACCCAAAUUUGGUAGGGGCACUCUUGUGACCAGGAAAUGAACUGAAGCAAGAGACAAGUAAUUGUAGAUAGAUGAUUACCCGGUGAAACUAACGCCUACGUAGUGACGCUGACAGAACAUGGCUUAUCGAA
rnacentral:RNase_P_RNA from 1 species